UCUAUUUCAUGUAAUCUGAAAAUGCCUCCUGUCAAUACUUCCUUGACAACAAAUGGGCCUUCCCAGUUCGGGGAGUAUUUUCCUUUAGACUGAGCUUGGUUGUCAAUGAUCUUCUUCAAAACCAAGUCGUGUUGUUUGAACUGUCGUAGUUGGACUUUUCUGUUGUAGGAUCUUCUUUACAAGUAAAAGGCCACUCAUUUGUGGGGCACAUACUUUCCCAUGGAUUUCAUCUAUAGCCUCUGAGCUUGGUCCUCG
rnacentral:lncRNA from 1 species